rnacentral:rRNA from 1 species
UACGAAGGGGGCUAGCGUUGCUCGGAAUCACUGGGCGUAAAGCGCACGUAGGCGGCUUUCUAAGUCAGGGGUGAAAUCUCGGAGCUUAACUCCGAAACUGCAUUCGAUACUGCCGUGCUUGAGGACUGGAGAGGAGACUGGAAUUUACGGUGUAGCGGUGAAAUGCGUAGAUAUCGUAAGGAAGACCAGUGGCGAAGGCGGGUCUCUGGACAGUUCCUGACGCUGAGGCACGAAGGUCAGGGGAGCAAACGGG